UCUCCGUUGGUGAACCAGCGGAGGGAUCAUUAUCGAGUUUAUAACACCCAAACCCUAUGUGAACUUACCACUUGUUGCUUCGGCGCGCGCUUCGGCGCCGCCGAGGACACUUAAACUCUUUGUUUUUAUAAGCAUUUCUGAGUGGCCGAAAGGCAAAAUACAAAUGAAUCAAAACUUUCAACAACGGAUCUCUUGGUUCUG
rnacentral:misc_RNA from 1 species